GUUCUGAAGUAUAUGACUGAUGGUAUGCUUCUGCGUGAGCUGCUUGGCGAACCAGAUCUGGCCAGCUACAGUGUCGUUAUUGUGGAUGAGGCGCAUGAAAGGACCUUGUCAACCGAUAUACUGUUUGGAUUAGUCAA